rnacentral:rRNA from 1 species
ACAUGAAGCCGGAAUUGCUAGUAAUGGCAGGUCAGCAUACUGCCGUGAAUACGUUCCCGGGCCUUGUACACACCGCCCGUCACACCAUGAGAGUUGGGGAUACCCGAAGCCUGUGAGCCAACUAUAUAGAGGCAGCAGUCGAAGGUAGAAUCAAUGAUUGGGGUGAAGUCGUAACAAGGUAAC